GAUGAACGCUGGCGGCGUGCCUAAUACAUGCAAGUCGAGCGAACGGACGAGAAGCUUGCUUCUCUGAUGUUAGCGGCGGACGGGUGAGUAACACGUGGAUAACCUACCUAUAAGACUGGGAUAACUUCGGGAAACCGGAGCUAAUACCGGAUAAUAUUUUGAACCGCAUGGUUCAAAAGUGAAAGACGGUCUUGCUGUCACUUAUAGAUGGAUCCGCGCUGCAUUAGCUAGUUGGUAAGGUAACGGCUUACCAAGGCAACGAUGCAUAGCCGACCUGAGAGGGUGAUCGGCCACACUGGAACUGAGACACAGUCCAGACUCCUACGGGAGGCAGCAGUAGGGAAUCUUCCGCAAUGGGCGAAAGCCUGACGGAGCAACGCCGCGUGAGUGAUGAAGGUCUUCGGAUCGUAAAACUCUGUUAUUAGGGAAGAACAUAUGUGUAAGUAACUGUGCACAUCUUGACGGUACCUAACCAGAAAGCCACGGCUAACUACGUGCCAGCAGCCGCGGUAAUACGUAGGUGGCAAGCGUUAUCCGGAAUUUAUGGGCGUAAGCGCGCGUAGGCGGUUUUUUAGUCUGAUGUGAAAGCCCACGGCUCAACCGUGGAGGGUCAUUGGAAACUGGAAAACUUGAGUGCAGAAGAGGAAAGUGGAAUUCCAUGUGUAGCGGUGAAAUGCGCAGAGAUAUGGAGGAACACCAGUGGCGAAGGCGACUUUCUGGUCUGUAACUGACGCUGAUGUGCGAAAGCGUGGGGAUCAAACAGGAUUAGAUACCCUGGUAGUCCACGCCGUAAACGAUGAGUGCUAAGUGUUAGGGGGUUUCCGCCCCUUAGUGCUGCAGCUAACGCAUUAAGCACUCCGCCUGGGGAGUACGACCGCAAGGUUGAAACUCAAAGGAAUUGACGGGGACCCGCACAAGCGGUGGAGCAUGUGGUUUAAUUCGAAGCAACGCGAAGAACCUUACCAAAUCUUGACAUCCUUUGACAACUCUAGAGAUAGAGCCUUCCCCUUCGGGGGACAAAGUGACAGGUGGUGCAUGGUUGUCGUCAGCUCGUGUCGUGAGAUGUUGGGUUAAGUCCCGCAACGAGCGCAACCCUUAAGCUUAGUUGCCAUCAUUAAGUUGGGCACUCUAAGUUGACUGCCGGUGACAAACCGGAGGAAGGUGGGGAUGACGUCAAAUCAUCAUGCCCCUUAUGAUUUGGGCUACACACGUGCUACAAUGGACAAUACAAAGGGCAGCGAAACCGCGAGGUCAAGCAAAUCCCAUAAAGUUGUUCUCAGUUCGGAUUGUAGUCUGCAACUCGACUACAUGAAGCUGGAAUCGCUAGUAAUCGUAGAUCAGCAUGCUACGGUGAAUACGUUCCCGGGUCU
rnacentral:rRNA from 1 species